CCUACGGGAGGCAGCAGUGAGGAAUAUUGGUCAAUGGACGAGAGUCUGAACCAGCCAAGUAGCGUGAAGGAUGACUGCCCUAUGGAUUGUAAACUUCUUUUAUAUGGGAAUAAAACGUUCCACGUGUGGGAUUUUGUAUGUACCAUAUGAAUAAGGAUCGGCUAACUCCGUGCCAGCAGCCGCGGUAAUACGGAGGAUCCGAGCGUUAUCCGGAUUUAUUGGGUUUAAAGGGAGCGUAGGUGGAUUGUUAAGUCAGUUGUGAAAGUUUGCGGCUCAAACGUAAAAUUGCAGUUGAAACUGGCAGUCUUGAGUACAGUAGAGGUGGGCGGAAGUCGUGGUGUAGCGGUGAAAUGCUUAGAUAUCACGAAGAAAUCCGAUUGCGAAGGCAGUUCACUGGACUGCAACUGACACUGAGGCUCGAAAGUGUGGGUAUCAAACAGGAUUAGAUACCCGAGUAGUC
rnacentral:rRNA from 1 species